rnacentral:rRNA from 2 species
UCGUUCAUACUACAGUGGCCACACCAGAUCCCAUCAGAACUCUGAAGUUAAGCACUGUAAGGCUUGGCCAGUACUGAGGUGGGAGACCGCUC